AUCGACAGGACUUUGGCGAUAUAGGGGAUGAGCGGCAGGUUCAGAACCAAGAGCACGAGGUUGCCGAUAUACAUCGAGAUGAUGACCGCCCAGAAGAUAUGCGGGCUGUCCACCAUUAGCCGCGGCCC
rnacentral:ncRNA from 1 species